GACGAACGCUGGCGGCGUGCUUAACACAUGCAAGUCGAACGGUAAGGCCCUUCGGGGUACACGAGUGGCGAACGGGUGAGUAACACGUGGGUGAUCUGCCCUGCACUUCGGGAUAAGCCUGGGAAACUGGGUCUAAUACCGGAUAGGACCCUGGGAUGCAUGUCCUGGGGUGGAAAGCUUUUGCGGUGUGGGAUGGGCCCGCGGCCUAUGAGCUUGUUGGUGGGGUGAUGGCCUACCAAGGCGACGACGGGUAGCCGGCCUGAGAGGGUGACCGGCCACACUGGGACUGAGAGACGGCCCAGACUCCUGCGGGAGGCAGCAGUGGGGAAUAUUGCACAAUGGGCGCAAGCCUGAUGCAGCGACGCCGCGUGAGGGAUGACGGCCUUCGGGUUGUAAACCUCUUUCAGCACCGACGAAGCACAAGUGACGGUAGGUGCAGAAGAAGGACCGGCCGACUACGUGCCAGCCGCCGCGGUAA
rnacentral:rRNA from 1 species